AGCAGCUCCACCACGCCAGGGGCCGGCCCAGCCAAGCCGGCAGCCGCCCCCAGCCCGCACCGCCGCAGCCCUCGUCGCCGGCCACCAGAUCUGACGAAGCAGCCACUGCCGCCCCGCCGCCCCCAAGCCAGCACGCCCCGCCACCAGCUCCACGUAGCCGCCGCCGCGCCGUCGACCCGCUGCGCCCGUCGCACCGCAGCCCGGGGCGCCGCCGCGCCGCCCUGCGCCAGCGCCGCGCACCUCGCCUGACCCAUGUGUCUCGCGCCACAGGGCCCCAGGGGAGGUGGGAGAGGAACCCCGCCGCCACCGACGCCAGCCGGGCUUCGCCCGGUGGCGCCCUCCGGCGGCGGCGGGGAGGGG
rnacentral:rRNA from 1 species